rnacentral:rRNA from 1 species
GUAUCAUGGCUCAGGAUGAACGCUAGCUACAGGCUUAACACAUGCAAGUCGAGGGGCAGCAUGGUCUUAGCUUGCUAAGGCCGAUGGCGACCGGCGCACGGUGAGUAACACGUAUCCAACCUGCCGUCUACUCGUUGGACAGCCUUCUGAAAGGAAGAUUAACUACAAGAUGGCAUCAUGAGUUCCGCAUAGUUUCACAUGAUUAAAGGUAUUCCGGUAGACGAUGGGGA